UACGUGGGUGGCAAGCGUUAUCCGGAUUUACUGGGUGUAAAGGGCGUGUAGGCGGGAAAGCAAGUCAGAUGUGAAAACCAUGGGCUCAACCUGUGGCCUGCAUUUGAAACUGUUUUUCUUGAGUACUGGAGAGGCAGACGGAAUUCCUAGUGUAGCGGUGAAAUGCGUAGAUAUUAGGAGGAACACCAGUGGCGAAGGCGGUCUGCUGGACAGCAACUGACGCUGAGGCGCGAAAGCGUGGGGAGCAAACAGG
rnacentral:rRNA from 1 species